CAAGUCGAGCGGUAACAGAUCCAGCUUGCUGGAUGCUGACGAGCGGCGGACGGGUGAGUAAUGCAUAGGAAUCUGCCCGAUAGUGGGGGAUAACCUGGGGAAACCCAGGCUAAUACCGCAUACGUCCUACGGGAGAAAGGGGGCUUCGGCUCCCGCUAUCGGAUGAGCCUAUGUCGGAUUAGCUAGUUGGUGAGGUAACGGCUCACCAAGGCAACGAUCCGUAGCUGGUCUGAGAGGAUGAUCAGCCACAUCGGGACUGAGACACGGCCCGAACUCCUACGGGAGGCAGCAGUGGGGAAUAUUGGACAAUGGGGGCAACCCUGAUCCAGCCAUGCCGCGUGUGUGAAGAAGGCCCUCGGGUUGUAAAGCACUUUCAGCGAGGAAGAACGCCUAGCGGUUAAUACCCGCUAGGAAAGACAUCACUCGCAGAAGAAGCACCGGCUAACUCCGUG
rnacentral:rRNA from 1 species